GGCAGGGUAUCUCAGUUGGUUAGAGAACUCGGCUCAUACCCGAGGUGUCGUGAGUUCGAAUCUCACCCCUGCUACCA
rnacentral:tRNA from 1 species